AGAGUUUGAUCCUGGCUCAGGAUGAACGCUAGCGGCAGGCCUAAUACAUGCAAGUCGAACGGUGUAGCAAUACAUAGUGGCGCACGGGUGCGUAACACGUAUGCAACCUACCUUAUACUGAGGGAUAGCCUUUGGAAACGGAGAUUAAUACCUCAUGGGACAUUGACUUGGCAUCGGGUUAAUGUUAAAGAUUUAUUGGUAUAAGAUGGGCAUGCGUCCAAUUAGUUAGUUGGUGAGGUAACGGCUCACCAAGACGAUGAUUGGUAGGGGAACUGAGAGGUUAAUCCCCCACACUGGCACUGAGAUACGGGCCAGACUCCUACGGGAGGCAGCAGUAGGGAAUAUUGGGCAAUGGAGGCAACUCUGACCCAGCCAUGCCGCGUGCAGGAUGAAGGCGUUAUGCGUUGUAAACUGCUUUUAUAUAGGAAGAAAUAGACCUUGCGAGGUAAGUUGACGGUACUAUAUGAAUAAGCACCGGCUAACUCCGUGCCAGCAGCCGCGGUAAUACGGAGGGUGCAAGCGUUGUCCGGAUUUAUUGGGUUUAAAGGGUGCGUAGGCAGUUUAUUAAGUCAGUGGUGAAAGACGGUCGCUCAACGAUUGCAGUGCCAUUGAUACUGGUA
rnacentral:rRNA from 1 species